AUUGAACGCUGGCGGUAUGCUUAACACAUGCAAGUCGAACGGUAACAGGACGCUGUGAUCUCUUCGGAGUGAACUUGUCGCUGACGAGUGGCGGACGGGUGAGUAAUACUUAGGAAUCUGCCCAGUAGUGGGGGACAACACGGGGAAACUCGUGCUAAUACCGCAUACGCCUUACGCGGGAAAGUGGGGGGAUCUUCGGACCUCACGCUAUUGGAUGAGCCUAAGUCGGAUUAGCUUGUUGGUGAGGUAAUGGCUCACCAAGGCGACGAUCCGUAGCUGGUCUGAGAGGACGAUCAGCCACACUGGGACUGAGACACGGCCCAGACUCCUACGGGAGGCAGCAGUGGGGAAUAUUGGACAAUGGGCGAAAGCCUGAUCCAGCAAUACCGCGUGUGUGAAGAAGGCCUGCGGGUUGUAAAGCACUUUCAGUAGAGAAGAAAGCUUAGAGUUAAUACCUCUGAGUCUUGACGUAACCUACAGAAGAAGCA
rnacentral:rRNA from 1 species